AGAAUGGGUCCUGGCAACGGGAGAGCACGAACCUGGUCAGGGGUUUGCGCCAGCAGCCAUAAGUGUCGCCUUUCGUGUGUUCAGGAUCCAUUUUGGA
rnacentral:SRP_RNA from 1 species